rnacentral:lncRNA from 1 species
CACAAUUAAAUCACACCACGGAUGGACUGAUUCAAAAAUCCCUCAACUCCAUGCCCGGCCCUAUUAUGGGCACCACAGGACUUCGUACUCGGAGUUAUUGCCCGGCCCUAUUAUGGGCACCACAGGACUUCGUAUAUAGAAGGCUAAUGAAUCAUCCUAAUGUCCAUCCACUAUCAUCUAUCACAACAAUACAAUGCGGCAUAGUCGUGAAUUCUAAUGCAAACAACCUAUAAUAUGAUCAUGAUGCAUGAAGCAUGAUAAAAGCAUUUCAUUUCUUAAUUUAAAAGGUUAAGCUUAGUUCCACUCACCUCUGGCUGACUCUGACAAACUCUGUAGCAGCUGGCUCACUGCUGGGGUCCUUGGUUCCUCGGGUCCGAACCUACACAGGUGGACUCCAAUGCAGGACCAAUCAUACAUAAACAUAACUCUAAUAUAUUCCCCAAAAACCC